UAUCUGAGCUUACAGCUUCUGAGUCC
rnacentral:piRNA from 1 species